UGCUCAAAUCUCAUUAGAUGAUGGCAGAUCUGAAGAAAGGUGCGGAUAUCUACCUAGACAUCGCCGGAGAGCAUGCUGACAUGGGCCGUGAAGUAAACGUCUUUGAGCUCUACCAAAGGCUAACCAUGGACUACGUGGGUCGUGCUGCGUUCGGCUUCGACUACAGUUUCCAGAGAGGACCCGAAAACGCUUUCGCAGCUGCCACAAAGGUUAUACUUCGGAGUGCUAUGAAGGGACCGUUCCACAUCAUUUGCCAGAGCACAUCUACAUUGGGUGCAUUCGCAAAGCCCCUGUACUGGAUCAACGUGCUUCUGGGUGCCUACGCGGACGAUGGCCAUGGCUAAAGAGGCGACGAAAGUGAUCGACCUCAGAAGAAAAAACCCAGAGUUCCGGAAGCCUGACAUGCUUCAGGGCCUACUCGAUGCAGAAUAUGAAGAAGAUGACUGUCAUACUGAUAACGACGCAUCAGAAAAUGGCCAGG